GCCUGGGUGGCUCAGUCGGUUGAGCGUCCGACUUCAGCUCGGGUCAUGAUCUCACGGUCUGUGAGUUCGAGCCCCGCAUCGGGCU
rnacentral:tRNA from 1 species